AAUUUAAUGUAUAAUAACGUCUAGUAGAGAAGUUAAUGGACGGUGGCUGUCUUUUUCCCGAAGAGGUGAUUUCUAUGGAAAUAUGGAAUAAUCUACAGAAAGGUUUCACAGCCAAUGAGUGUUUUUCAAGCACUUAGUUUGAUGUUUAUGUUUGGUAUGUUUAUUUUAGCAUUGCUAACAUACAUC
rnacentral:sRNA from 1 species